CCUACGGUAUGCUGCAGUAGGGAAUCUUCCACAAUGGGCGAAAGCCUGAUGGAGCAACGCCGCGUGGGUGAAGAAGGUCUUCGGAUCGUAAAACCCUGUUGUUAGAGAAGCAAGUGCGUGAGAGUAACUGUUCACGUUUCGACGGUAUCUAACCAGAAAGCCACGGCUAAAUACUUGCCAGCAGCCGCGGUCAGACGUAGGUGGCAAGCGUUAUCCGGAUUUCUUGGGCGUAAAGGUAACGCAGGCGGUCUUUUAAGUCUGAUGUGAAAGCCUUCGGCUUAACCGGAGUAGUGCGUUGGAAACUGGGAGACUUGAGGGCAGAAGAGGAGAGUGGAACUCCAUGUGUAGCGGUGAAAUGCGUAGAUAUAUGGAAGAACACCAGUGGCGAAAGCGGCUCUCUGGUCUGUAACUGACGCUGAGGUUCGAAAGCGUGGGUAGCAAACAGGAUUAGAUACCCCAGUAGUC
rnacentral:rRNA from 1 species